rnacentral:ncRNA from 2 species
AUGACGGGCGGGAGAGAGUCCGGCUCGUCCGGCGCCGAAGGAGCAAGCCGCACGGCGGCAGGCGUGCGGUGAAACUCUCAGGCCCAUGGAUCCCGCACCGGAC